CGCUCCUUUUAAAUAGGGAUGAGUGAUGGUGAGAUCAGGAGCCAUCAACAAUCCUGCAUUGACAGACACCAUAUUAACUCCCCUGUCCAUGGCCAAGGCCCAUGCACUCUUCUCGGCCAGCGUCUUCGACAUCGCAUGCCACAACUGUGGAUAAAAUCGAAACAUUAAUUUAAGCAAAAAAUUUUAAAAAAAAUUUUUUUUAAAAAAAAACAAGAAUGUGGGUAUAAUUAAUACAUCAAGUAAUUAAUAUAUUUUACCUUGAAUUUACGAGAAAAAUUGAUGUCCGUCCAAUGUGUCUCGUCCAAAUCGGAUGGUAUUGAUUUACGAUCAUCCCUCCAAACGACUGCAGUUACUGAUGAUGUGAAAACUACUUUCUCUAUUGUCUCUGUUUGUGCGCAUGCUUCAAUUACAUUGUGGGCUGCUCUCACUUCCACGUCUGCCAUUAGUUCCUGCUCCAAAGUACUUCAAUUAGUGGGUUGUAUAUGAAUAUAAAGACACAGGAAAUAAAGGGCUGCGCACUAGCAAAAUAAUUCAUGGAAGCGUGGAGGCACGCGUGGGCUAGAGAGUGGUGAGGGAGAGAGAGAGAGAAACGACUUGUACAACGCUAACAGCAAGUUGGAAUUGACAAGCAAUUUAUAAGCAGCCCCCAGCAUGAAUAACUUGACGUGAGUCAAACGCCACCAACCAUUCAAACCUCUUGCCCACCCACCCCGACCUCCACCUCCACACCCUCUCCUUUUAUAAUUAACUUCUUGUGUACCCUUCUACUUGUUAUCGUAAUUAAACUUAGCCUUUUUUGUAUAUCAUUUCUCAUCACUUUCUAACAAAUUACACAAGCCCCACUUGAUUUAAUUAAAUUUGUGUUUGUUGAUUCUGUCUGAUUCUUGAAGUUUUGGAUUGAAUUUCGGGUUAAAAUCUUGAUUCUAAGUAGAAGAGACUAAAAUUAAACUGAAGAAGAUGGAGAGAAUUAGUGGGCAUACAUCAUAGGAAGUCUGGUCAUGGGGAGGCUCGAAGGUGUAAAACAAGCCGGAGCAGCCCUUGAGCGCGUCCAUUAUGCUCUGGUAGUCGAAGGGAUCAGAGUGAAAGAUCUUCAGCUUCUGGGUAUCACAAGAAAGCCCAUUCAACAGUUGAAUUUCACCUGCUCAUCAAAUACAAACCAAAAAAAACAAUUAAGUACUCCAAUUUCUUCCAGAUGAAUUAACGGUAAAUUAAGAGGGUAGGGAAGCGACCAUGGUUUUGGACCGCAGCAUGGACCGUAUAGCCUCUUAGGAGGAGGCUGCCGACGAGAGUGGAGCCGAGGGUGCUGGAGGCGUCCAUUACACACACAAUUGGAGACGUGUGGUGUGGAGAAACUGGAGCCAGUGCCAUUGCAGAGAGAGA
rnacentral:lncRNA from 1 species